AAGAAAACAAAUAAAUACUAUUAAUAGCCCACUAUCUCUUGACCUUCCAACUACAAAACAGACUUUGUCUUUCCACUAACUUAUUAAUAGAAACCCACUAACUAUAACAUUAAAGUUUAUUCAACAGGAUAGGGCUAAUGAAAAACUACAAUCCAUUGAAGAGCUUAUAAAAGCGCAGGGUAAGCCUUCUCCAUAUGUGCAGAGGUAGGAACAGAAGAAGUCGGAUACCAAUGAUGUGUUGGUCAAGUUUAUGGAGCAGACAAAUAUAAAAUUUGGAACCUUGGAGAUCCAUAUCUCAAGUAUCCUCACUUUUCUAUCUCAAAGGCCUCAAGGUUCACUACCAACUCCGACUGAACCUAACCCAAAAGAAAGAAAUGACCACUGCAAAGUAGUCACCCUUAGGAGUGGUACGGAGCUAAAUCAAGAAAGCAACCACGAUGAGUAGGGUCUUAAGAAAUAAUAAGAAGAAGCUCCAAUUGAAGGGAGCAUUACUAAAGGUCACGACAAAAGAAAGAAGAUAAAUGAGCAAUUAAAGGAUUUGAAGAGUCUCAAGAAGAUUGGUAUAACUUAGCUGAUCAAUGGCUUGUAUUACUGAACCCAUAGUCAAUUAAAUGAUGUUGAUUGUAAAGAUACUUUUUAUGUGAAUAAUAUUUCUUUUAGAACUAUUCCUAAGUCUUCUCUUUGGCAUUUUCGUUUACGACAUAUUCCCAAUUAAUGUAUCAAGAUUAUUAGUAAUGUUUUUCAUGAUAUUACUUGUAAUGGACAUUUGAUACAUGCUGAUAUAUAAGGUCCUUUUGCUAUUCA